GCCCCGCCCUCCCCGCACAGGAGGGCGGCACGAGGCCCGGCGCUCUCUGCCCUGACCGCGCCACGGCCUCCGGUCGGCCGCUCCGGACGCGGGGCUCGCACACCCCGCGGUGUCCGGUCCGGCCGAUAUCAGCUCCGGGCUGCGGUGCCGGCGGGGUCGAGGGUCCCCGUCAGGCGC
rnacentral:ncRNA from 1 species